rnacentral:tRNA from 1 species
GGAGAGAUGGCAGAGUGGUUAAUUGCGGCGGUCUUGAAAACCGUUGAGGUUUAUUAUUCCUCCGGGGGUUCGAAUCCCUCUCUCUCCGCUA